rnacentral:rRNA from 1 species
ACACCAAUAAACGCCAGGGAAUUACGAGCCUAGCUUAAAACCCAAAGGACUUGACGGUGUCCCACCCCACUAGAGGAGCCUGUUCUAUAACCGAUAAUCCACGAUACACCCAACCAUUUCUUGCUUUUCAGCCUGUAUACCUCCGUCGCAAGCUUGCCGUCUGAACGCAUAACAGCAGGCCCAAUGGCCAACCGCCAAAACGUCAGGUCGAGGUGCAGCUAACGAAAUGGUAAGCAAUGGGCUACAAUUUCUAAACUAGAACAAACGAAACACUACAUGAAACAUAGUCAUGAAGGCGGAUUUAGCAGUAAAUAGGGAAUAGAGAGCCCCAUUUAACCCGGCCCUGGGACG